GACCUCUGCCCCCAUCUCCUUCUCCUCCACCUCCGCCCCCAUCUCCUUUGCCUUUCUCCUCUUCUCCGCCCCCGACCUUACUUUCUCCUCCAUCUCCGCCCUCGUCUACGCCCCCGAGCUGCCCUAUUCCUGUUUCUCUCCUUCUCCUCCGCCGCUCGAGCUGCCCUAGCCCUCACCCUGUAGCACCUUCUUGUCUUCCUUGCCCCUCACGCUUAACGUCUCGCCUCCUUCAAACGUGCAGUGGAUUGAAGCUGCCCCUUGCCCUUCCAAUCAAGCAAUCUGCAACCUCUCAGCCCAGCAGCUCAUCAGCUUCCUCUUCUCCUCUCCUCAGCAGGAACGACAGCUCUCCGCAGCAGCGACUCUUCCACAUCUCUGUCGAGGCCACCAGCAGACCAGUCGUAGCUUCCGUUGCAGCCCCACAGCAGCUUCUCGUCGAGGAACCAGACGAUGAUGCAUCUUCUCAAGUAUUGCAUGACUUUGAUGAAAAGAGUAGUCUGCAGGACAGAAGACUAGUUAUCUAGCAAGUUGUCAUAGUUGUUUUUGUUUUAUGGUUUACAACAAUUGAAUAUUUUAAACAAUUUGUACAGGACCAUGGUGUUUUAGUUCAUCCGUGGUGGUGAAGGUGUUGCCUGGGCAUGAUUCUGCCCUGACAUGAUCCUUUGGAUGGUGGCUAGGUGCCUCUCUGUUAAUACUUGUUAACAUUGAUAGGGAAAAUUGUGAAAAUCCUAUGUAUUUGAUUAAAUGUAUGUUUU